CAGCCGCCACGGUAAAACGUAGGCAGCGAGCGUUGUUCGGAAUUACUGGGCGUAAAGAGUGUGUAGGCGGUGCUCUAAGUUCGGUGUGAAGUCUCCCGGCUUAACUGGGAGGGUGCGCCGGAAACUGGAAUGCUCGAGCGUGGGAGAGGAAAGCGGAAUUCCUGGUGUAGCGGUGAAAUGCGUAGAUAUCAGGAGGAACACCUGUGGUGUAGACGGCUUUCUGGACCAUAGCUGACGCUGAGACACGAAAGCGUGGGUAGCGAACAGGAUUAGAUACCCGUGUAGUCCCUGUCUCUUAUAC
rnacentral:rRNA from 1 species